AACGAACGCUGGCGGCGGGCCUCAUACAUGCAAGUCGAGCGCGAAAGUCCGCAAGGAUGAGUAAAGCGGCGCACGGGUGAGAAACACGUGGAUAAUCUACCCUUUGGAUUGGAAUAACCUGUCGAAAGACGGGCUAAUGCCGAGUAAGUUCACCGAUUCGUAAAGUUUUGGUGAAGAAACAUGGCGCAAGCUAUGGCCGAAGGAUGAGUCUGCGCCCCAUUAGUUAGUUGGUGAGGUAAAAGCUUACCAAGACAAUGAUGGGUAGCUGGUCUGAGAGGAUGAUCAGCCACACUGGAACUGAAACACGGUCCAGACUCCUACGGGAGGCAGCAGUAGGGAAUAUUGCGCAAUGGGCGAAAGCCUGACGCAGCCACGCCGCGUGAGUGAAGAAGGCCUUCGGGUUGUAAAGCUCUGUCAACAGGGAAAAACGAUUAUCCGGGGAAAGUUCGGGUAAUGUGAUGGUACCUGUGGAGGAAGCACCGGCAAACUCUGUG
rnacentral:rRNA from 1 species